rnacentral:rRNA from 1 species
GGGUGUGAUCAUACCAGCGUUAAUGCAGCAGAUCCCCUCGGAACUCCGCAGUUAAGUGCGCUUGGGCUAGAGUCGUACUGGGAUGGGUGACCUCCAGGGAGGUCAUGGUGUUGCACCCU